AGGGGGGGGGGGGGGGGGGCACAAGAGAGACAGGGAGAGAGAGACAGCACGAGAGAGAAAGAGAGAGAGGGGAGAGAGCACAAGAGGGGGAGAAGAGAAAGGGUGAUAGAGCACGAGAGAGAGAGAGAGAGAGAGACAGAGAGAAAUGAUAUGCAGCUAAUAAGCAAAACGAAGUGGGAGUGAUACUAUCUUCUGAAGUUUCUGUGAGCUCUCGUGUCUGUGAAAUUGUUAUUGACAGGGUUUAUCAGGUCCCAGUGAACCACCAGGAGCUAAUUGUCGCCUACUGUAGAUCACUACACUGCACACAGAAAAGACUUCAUAGUGAAUCCACAGUCUUAAUGACUGGCUAUGGUUGAUGAGAGAGUGGCACUGCCAUCCUUUCCUCAUAGAGACAAUAGCUGGUGAGUCUGACCAGAGAAAACACCAACCUGUGAAAUGCUGUGCCACUCCAGUACUGGAUUUGACUCAAAGGAGCGUAAAUCAUGACUGUCGGCCAUCUUGAGCAGGCAUUAGGUGUUGGCUGUUGACUUAGAGAGACGGACAAUCAAGGUGAGGGUCUCCAGCUGAUCGAUGAAGAUUCAGACUUCCUGCUGGGAGAUGCGAGUCCACACCAAGGGCAG
ensembl:lncRNA